AAGAUUUCUAAUUACUAGGAACUGGCAGGGACAGAGAAAAGCUCUUUAAGUGAAAUCAUGUUUCUGUAAUUAGAUUUCAUUAAGAAGCAUUGUCAGGGUUAAAACAGUUUGAAAUAGCACAAAAAAUCUUUAAAUAAAGCGUUACUGUGUUUUAUUCAGAUGGGACUGGAGAAAAGGGGAUAGCUUAUGCUUCAGGAGUAUAUUGCCAGCAACACAUUUAGAAGAUAAACCAUUUCUAACUAAUCUUGUCCUCCAGUACUGAUUAGAUUAAUACUUGGCAAAAUUUGGUCAUUAUACCUUAUGCUAACAGAAAGUCACACUCAGCUGUGAACUCUGUUUAGGCCAUAUGUUGAACAAUCAGUGGUGCAGUGCAGGAGGGUAUGUUGAGUAACUCCAUGGUCAAUUCAGAAUUAGCAGGAGCAUCACACACAUAAUUGUUACCAGAAGCAAUGCAGACUGUUUAGAGGGUGUGUGAGUUCUCUGUAUGCUGUUCUCACUCUAGAGUUAAGCAAAAUACCCUACUUUCUUCUUUGUUUCUCAUUUAUAGUGUGAUUACUUUUUUUUUAUCUUUAAAAAAAAUGUAAAAGCAGAAACACACAACAGGUUCAGUCAGGGGCUUUGUCUGGAGAGCUUCCUGACCUGUUUCUGCUGUAUUCAAAUUAAUAUGCCAUCAGGGACUAACCUCAUCUGUAGCACAACAGGUAGCUUUGCCUGCCAGCUGAGCCUGUGGCCAACUUGUCUGAAUGCACCUCCCCUGCUUUGCUGCAAAGUCAAGCUUAAGUCAUUAAUAUGCACUUCAUUAGGCCAGGUGGAACGUGUUAGUCAGUCCUAGCUUGGAAAUCUACCAAUGAAAUCCUGUGUGACAACUACAGAAAUAAACCCUGGUGACUAGUGAGUCACAAGUCUCCUAGAGCAACGUUGCUUUCUAAAGGGAAUUUAUUUCUUGCCCAGCCAGGCUCCAGACUACAUUUUGAAUGCAGUAGCACUCAACUGAAAGACUGCACCCUGCUAGCAAGCCUGCUCAAGUCCUGAGUAGAGAAGAAAAUCAUGGAACCAGUCACUUUUGGGGCAACUUCUUUCCUCUGGUCAGGAAAAAGAGGAGGCGUUUUGAAGAGGAAUGAAACAAUUGCAGCAGAGGGAACAUUGGAAACUGUCAUCCAAUCUGCUUCUGAAACGCAGUUUGUGCAACGAAGCACCAUUUGUAUGGAUCCCACCAAUUUACUACAAUUUAGAGUGCUAGCUAGACUCCAGUUCUUGUGUCCCUUGAAAACUUUAUUAGGAUUAUUAAGUCAGGACUAAUUGUUGCUUUUUGUUUGUUUAUUUUCUCUUCUUCUCCUUUCCCAGAAGCACCUGAACGUCUUAGGAAUUUAAACCAUUGAAGUUUUAAAGCGUCUAUUGCCAAAGCAACCGCACCAUCUAGGUCCAUUCCUUGGAGGCAGCUGAGGCACGUGGGCUCCCUUGGCAUCCCAGCUGCACAUAGGAGCUGUUCUGAAAGCCCCAGUGACUGAGACUUGCAGUUGCAAAAUAAAGUCUUUAGGAAUAAAGAUGCAGAGAAGGAGACAAAGCAGCUUUCCAAAAAGAGAUCCCUAAGAUUACGCUCAUACAACCAGCUAGUGGGUGUCACAGUUAAACUGCAUUUAGCUCUGCAUAAUGAAUCAGUCUCUGAGACUGUUAGGCUCAUCUGAUGUAUGCAGUCAGUUGAGAUCAUGAGUCACAACAGAAGGGCGCAGCCCAAAUUAGCAUGAUUCCUAACUUCAUACAGACCCUGAUGAGGCUCACCUUGGGAUUCUUUGGAGAGUUUUGCAAAUGGUAUCCAAGGUCUAGCCCAUUGUCUUCUGUACACACAAAAAAAAAAGCGCUUUCAGAGAGAUGAUUCACUUUCUCUCCCUGUCCUUUUAGGAACAAUUCCAUUUGCAGCUGGUAGGAAAGGUAAGUGAUAGGAACUCACAUGCAGCAACCUGAACACUCCAGAACACAUGAGAAAAUACUGCUUCAAAGAGACAGCAAAUAAAACCAAAACCAAGAAAAUAAACACUGUAGCCAACAUUUUCCAAAAUAUACCGCCUUCAGCUGGUUCUUGUUUUAAGUAUAUGGUAAAACUGAGUUAUCACAGGUGCUGCUUUCUGGAAACGCCCACCAUUACGGCUGAUAAGAUAAAUUCAAAGAAAAAAAAAAACUUGAAAUGGCCUCAAAGAGCUCUCUGAAAAAUUUAGAUCAUUGUAAGCCUGCAGAUUUUGGAAAACAGUCUAGUUUUCGUGAUACCAAUAUUCACCCCUUCCAUUCUGUACGUGUGCAAACACAUCUCAUCCUUUUCCUCAUUGAAUUCAACUCAGACUAGCACUGCCAUGAAUUUCAUUAGUUUCACUAGGUUUUAUCCCCUUCUCUGAAGCAGUAUGUUAGUGAUGACAACCUUGUACUACUAAAUGAAUCUCACAUUUACACUGAGUGCCAGGGUGCUUUUAAAAUCUUGACUCUUUCUUCUACUUUGUCAUAAGUCCGCCUGGCAAAAAUUAAAAAAAAAAAAUAAAAUAAAAUAAAAUAAAGGCAGCCAAAGGGGGCAUGUUCGCUUUCAGAAGUCAACGAAAGAGAGGGGGUGUGUGGAAGAGAAACUCUUUAAUGUUGCUCAAGAAAAUACUUUUCAGUCAAACUCUGGCAGCAUACUGCCCAAUUCCUGUCUUCAGCAGCAAAGUUGAAGCUGCCGGUGCUCAGGGGCGAUUGGCAGUCUGCUCUGGGUUCCUUCACAGCACUGCUAAUCUCCACUAAUACUCUCCCAUGCUUCAUUUAAUUUCACUCUCAGGGCUCUUUUUCAAAUUCUUCCUCCAAUCUUAAACCAAUGCCCUCAUUGUUUAGGAUUCCUUUACCCUGACAAGGCUGACCUCAGAUAUCCUCUCCUUUUUCCUGCUCUGUAACUCAGGCAGUCCAC